UCAUUAACUGAAUCCAUAGGUUAAUGAGGCGAACCGGGGGAACUGAAACAUCUAAGUACCCCGAGGAAAAGAAAUCAACCGAGAUUCCCCCAGUAGCGGCGAGCGAACGGGGAGGAGCCCAGAGCCUGAAUCAGCAUGUGUGUUAGUGGAAGCGUCUGGAAAGGCGCGCGAUACAGGGUGACAGCCCCGUACACAAAAGCGCAUGUGCUGUGAGCUCGAUGAGUAGGGCGGGACACGUGGUAUCCUGUCUGAAUAUGGGGGGACCAUCCUCCAAGGCUAAAUACUCCUGACUGACCGAUAGUGAACCAGUACCGUGAGGGAAAGGCGAAAAGAACCCCGGCGAGGGGAGUGAAAAAGAACCUGAAACCGUGUACGUACAAGCAGUGGGAGCACAGGUUUACCUG
rnacentral:rRNA from 3 species